rnacentral:lncRNA from 1 species
AAUGUAGGUUAGAGACAUAGAACAAGGUUGGAAGCAUGUGCUAUAUAUAUACACCCUAGUGUAGAGAUCCGUGUGAUGUAGCGGGUAGAUAAUAGAAGUAAAAUAUAAAAAAUUUAAUAAAAUUGAGUGUGGCUAAGAUGCUUAUGGAAGCACGGAGGGCUCCGUGCUUCCACUUUGUUUUCGAUGUUCGGACUUUCGAAUCGACAAUCGGCUUCGUUAGACUUGAUCUAGAGUAUUUGAAGUAUCUAGCAAAAUAAAUGUUGCUAUUUUUCGAUAUCAUUUGAAUAGUGAUCGAAGUGGCUCAAAAUCAACGGCUGAAAAUAAAAAUCUUACAAAAUAUGAUGAUAUGACAUUAAAAUUUUAGAUCAAAGUUAUUGAUCUUGUUUUUUAUGGUAUAAAUAAUUUUCUAUCAAAAUUUCAUGUGAUUUGAAUAUUUCUACACCGUUAAACUUGCAACCGGCUCACCACGGCCGUUAAAAUUAUUGAUUUUGAGCCCUUUCAAUCACUGGGCAAAUGAUAUCAAAAAAUCACAAAAUUUAUUUUCUAGGUACUUCAAAUACUCUAGAUCAACUCUAACGGAGCCGAUCGUCGAUUCGAAAGUUCGAACAUCGAAAACGACUUGGAAGCACGGAGGCUUCCGUGCUUCCUUAAGCAUACCAGCACAACUCAAUAAAAUUUAUAUUUAAAGCUUAUUGAUAUAUAGAAAGCUAUAUCAUAUUAAACACAACAAAUUUGUAUGACUAAUUUCAACUCUUAAAAAAAUUAAAAUUAUAGUUAAAACCCACUCAUUGAUAGAAUAUUAAUAUGGUGCAUGUAAUUAAAUGUUGCACCUUAAUAUGUAAUUAGAUGAGUGGGAAGGUAAAGGGUUGGACGUUGAGAAUGAAGAUAACAUGCCAUGUGGUAAAAAAUAUUCUAACUUCAUAUAGAUUUAUCGAUUAUAGAUUUAUAGAUUAUAGAUAUGUGUGUGGAGAGAGAGAGAGAGAGAGAGAGAGAGAGAGAGAGAGAGAGAGAAUUAGUUUAAAAGCUUUAGCUUAGAGUAAGCA